AUUGAACGCUGGCGGCGUGCUUAACACAUGCAAGUCGAGACGGGUAAGGCCCCGUUUCGGGGGUACACGAGCGGCGAACGGGUGAGUAACACGUGGGUGACCUGCCCUCAGCUCGUGGGAUAAGCCGUAGGGGAAACCGGGUCUAAUACCGGGAUAUGACUCCAUGACGCAUGUUGUGGGGUGGAAAGCCUUGUGCGGCUGAGGACGGGCCCGCGGCCUAUCAGCUUGUUGGUGGGGUGAUGGCCUACCAAGGCGACGACGGGUAGCCGGCCUGAGAGGGCGACCGGCCACACUGGGACUGAGACACGGCCCAGACUCCUACGGGAGGCAGCA
rnacentral:rRNA from 1 species